CAAAGGUGAGCCAGUACAGGAUGGACCCGCGUCUGAUUAGCUAGUUGGUAAGGUAACGGCUUACCAAGGCGACGAUCAGUAGCCGACCUGAGAGGGUGAUCGGCCACAUUGGAACUGAGACACGGUCCAAACUCCUACGGGAGGCAGCAGUGGGGAAUAUUGCACAAUGGGCGAAAGCCUGAUGCAGCAACGCCGCGUGAGUGAUGAAGGCCUUCGGGUCGUAAAACUCUGUCCUCAAGGAAGAUAAUGACGGUACUUGAGGAGGAAGCCCCGGCUAACUACGUGCCAGCAGCCGCGGUAAUACGUAGGGGGCUAGCGUUAUCCGGAUUUACUGGGCGUAAAGGGUGCGUAGGCGGUCUUUCAAGUCAGGAGUGAAAGGCUACGGCUCAACCGUAGUAAGCUCUUGAAACUGGGAGACUUGAGUGCAGGAGAGGAGAGUGGAAUUCCUAGUGUAGCGGUGAAAUGCGUAGAUAUUAGGAGGAACACCAGUUGCGAAGGCGGCUCUCUGGACUGUAACUGACGCUGAGGCACGAAAGCGUGGGGAGCAAACAGGAUUAGAUACCCUGGUAGUCCACGCUGUAA
rnacentral:rRNA from 1 species